AUUCCAGCUCCAAUAGCGUAUAUUAAAGUUGUUGCAGUUAAAAAGCUCGUAGUUGGAUCUCAGGGUGAGCUCAGUUGGUCGGCCUAAUUGGUCAGAACUGGCUGACUCUCCCUUGUUUCUGAAUCCCGGUCAGAGUUAAUUCUUCGUUCGUGGACUUCAGAUCGUUUACCUUGAAAAAAUUAGAGUGUUCAAAGCGGGCGUUUGCUUGAAUACAUUAGCAUGGAAUAAUGGAAUAGGACCCUGGUUCUAUUUUGUUGGUUUUGAGGACCAGAGUAAUGAUUAAUAGGGAUAGUUGGGGGCAUUCAUAUUUAAUGGUCAGAGGUGAAAUUCUUGGAUUUAUGAAAGAUGAACUUCUGCGAAAGCAUUUGCCAAGGAUGUUUUCAUCA
rnacentral:rRNA from 1 species